rnacentral:lncRNA from 1 species
AAGCUCCGGCAACCACGGUCAACUAUUUUAACGACCCAGACAAAGAGGAUAUUUUUUUCACCAAAUCUGUGAUGUAAACCAUCUCAUCCUUCACUCCCCUGUUUCAAGCUACUGUGCAGGACAGAGAAGGCCGUUUCAUGAAUCAAUAUUCGCUAGUUGAAGCCAUGACAGACAACUUGAGAAUUGUGUAAUUCUCUCAAAGAAGGAGCCUCUCGUCUAGUAGAGCCGACUCGUUGAGGAGCCACAGGUCAGGACA